UACAGAGGUCUCAAGCGUUGUUCGGAUUCAUUGGGCGUAAAGGGUGCGUAGGUGGCGCGGUAAGUCGGGUGUGAAAUUUCGGAGCUUAACUCCGAAACUGCAUUCGAUACUGCCGUGCUUGAGGACUGGAGAGGAGACUGGAAUUACGGUGUAGCAGUGAAAUGCGUAGAUAUCGUAAGGAAGACCAGUGGCGAAGGCGGGUCUCUGGACAGUUCCUGACACUGAGCACGAAGGCCAGGGGAGCAAACGGG
rnacentral:rRNA from 1 species